GAUAAAGGCUUCGGGAAUGUGGCUCCCCUCGGGGAGUGUUAUAGCCCGUUGUGUAAUACCCUGGUGGGGACUGAGGUUCGCGCUUCUGCAAGGAUGCUGGCGUAAUGGUCAUCAACGA
rnacentral:rRNA from 1 species